rnacentral:rRNA from 1 species
GACGAACGCUGGCGGCGCGCUUAACACAUGCAAGUCGAGCGAGAACCAAGCCUUCGGGCUUGGGGACAGCGGCGAACGGGUGAGUAACACGUGAGUAAUCUACCCUCGGUACCGGGAUAGCCCGGGGAAACUCGGAUUAAUACCGGAUAGCCCAUUUAUCCUUCGGGAUUUGAUGGGAAAGAUAGCUUCGGCCUUCGACCGGGGACGAGCUCGCGGCGGAUUAGCUUGUUGGCGGGGUAACGGCCCACCAAGGCGACGAUCCGUAGCUGGUCUGAGAGGACGAUCAGCCACACUGGGACUGAGACACGGCCCAGACUCCUACGGGAGGCAGCAGUGGGGAAUCUUGCGCAAUGGGCGAAAGCCUGACGCAGCGACGCCGCGUGAGGGAAGAAGGCCUUCGGGUUGUAAACCUCUUUCAGGAGGGACGAAGCUCCUCGGGUGAAUAGCCCAGAGAGUGACGGUACCUCCAGAAGAAGCCCCGGCUAACUACGUGCCAGCCGCCGCCGUAAGAC